rnacentral:rRNA from 1 species
ACGCUCGACACCUACGGUAGGCAGCAGUGGGGAAUAUUGCACAAUGGGGGAAACCCUGAUGCAGCGACGCCGCGUGGAGGAAGAAGGUCUUCGGAUUGUAAACUCCUGUUGUUGGGGAAAAAGAGGAUGGUACCCAACAAGGAAGUGACGGCUAACUACGUGCCAGCAGUCGCGGUAAUCUGAGCGGGCUGGCAAGGC